GAUGAACGCUAGCGGCAGGCUUAAUACAUGCAAGUCGUGGGGCAGCACAGUGUAGCAAUACAUGGGUGGCGACCGGCAAACGGGUGCGUAACACGUACGCAACCUUCCUUUAGGCGGGGAAUAGCCCAGAGAAAUUUGGAUUAAUACCCCAUAAAAUUUUGAGAUGGCAUCAUCUUAUUAUUAAAGCUUCGGCACCUGAAGAUGGGCGUGCGGCUGAUUAGGUAGUUGGCGGGGUAACGGCCCACCAAGCCUUCGAUCAGUAGCUGAUGUGAGAGCAUGAUCAGCCACACGGGCACUGAGACACGGGCCCGACUCCUACGGGAGGCAGCAGUAAGGAAUAUUGGUCAAUGGGCGAAAGCCUGAACCAGCCAUGCCGCGUGGAGGAUGAAGGUCCUCUGGAUUGUAAACUUCUUUUAUCUGGGACGAAAAAGGGUUUCUAACUCGUCUGACGGUACCAGAUGAAUAAGCACCGGCUAACUCCGUGCCAGCGGCCGAC
rnacentral:rRNA from 1 species